AUUGAACGCUGGCGGCAGGCCUAACACAUGCAAGUCGAACGAGUGGCGGACGGGUGAGUAAUGUCUGGGAAACUGCCCGAUGGAGGGGGAUAACUACUGGAAACGGUAGCUAAUACCGCAUACCAUCGGAUGUGCCCAGAUGGGAUUAGCUAGUAGGUGGGGUAACGGCUCCCCUAGGCGACGAUCCCUAGCUGGGCUGAGAGGAUGACCAGCAACACUGGGACUGAGGCACGGUCCCACUUCCUACGGGAGGCAGCAGGGGGGAAUCUGGGACAAUGGGCGCAAGCCUGAUGCAGCCAUUCCGCGUGUAUGAUGAAGGCCUUCGGGUUGUAAAGUACUGUCAGCGGUGAUGCGUUACCCGCAGAAGAAGCACCGGCUAACGCCGUGCCAGCAGCCGCGGUAAUAC
rnacentral:rRNA from 1 species